rnacentral:rRNA from 1 species
UACGUAGGGUGCGAGCGUUGUCCGGAAUUAUUGGGCGUAAAGAGCUUGUAGGUGGUUUGUCGCGUCUGCUGUGAAAACCCGGGGCUCAACUCCGGGCUUGCGGGCGAUACGGGCAGGCUAGAGUUCGGUAGGGGAGACUGGAAUUCCUGGUGUAGCGGUGAAAUGCGCAGAUAUCAGGAGGAACACCGGUGGCGAAGGCGGGUCUCUGGGCCGAUACUGACGCUGAGGAGCGAAAGCGUGGGGAGCGAACAGG